CUGGGCUUCUCCUCCCAGCUCUGUCACUUUGUCUCAUUCCAUCCAUUUCCCACAUCAGGACAAGUCAGUGCAUCGAGAAGUCGCAUCACCCAGGGACCUGACAUCAGUGACGGGCACCAUGCCAGUCAGGGUCUACAGGGCCCUUGUGCUGCCAGCAAGAAGUCCAUGGUGGAUGUUCAUCAACAGGUGCCACACCAAGCCUUCCAAGAAGGAGGUUGGAGUAUUGGAAACAAUUGUGGGAUUUUCUGUUUUAUCCUUCGGCCUCCUGUCUCCGGCAGCGUGGAUCCUAGCCAACCUCCCGGACCAGCCGAAACACUAGAGGGGAGGAGAGGGGACACAAUCACCUGUGACGUCAUGAUGACAUCAUCAUACAAAAGGAUUAGAGACUGAACUGAAGCUGAUCGGAUAAUGCAAUCCAGCAAAUCACAGACGGAAACUAUCAAAUGUGUAAAGUGUCUACUGCAGUGUGUGUCCUGGGUCCAGCGGCGUCCGAAAUACAUGUAUCUCCUCUC